GAGUUUGAUCCUGGCUCAGAACGAACGCGGCGGCGUGCCUAACACAUGCAAGUCGAACGGAGUGAAGGAGCUUGCUCUUUCAUUUAGUGGCGCACGGGUGAGUAACGCGUAGAUAAUCUGCCUUGGACUCUGGGAUAACAUCUCGAAAGGGGUGCUAAUACCGGAUAAGCCCACGAUGGCGUAAGUCAUUGCGGGAAAAGGGGGCCUCUGAAUAUGCUCCUGAUUCAAGAUGAGUCUGCGUACCACUAGCUAGUUGGUAGGGUAAGACCUACCAAGGCGACGAUGGUUAGCUGGUCUGAGAGGAUGAUCAGCCACACUGGAACUGAGACACGGUCCAGACUCCUACGGGAGGCAGCAGUGGGGAAUUUUGCGCAAUGGGGGAAACCCUGACGCAGCAACGCCGCGUGAGUGAUGAAGGCUUCGGGUGUAAAGCUCGUCUAGGGGAAGAAAGAUAGUCGGUUAAUCCCGGUUUUUUGACGGUACCUGAAGAAGCCCGGCUAACUCGCCGCGCGGGUAA
rnacentral:rRNA from 1 species